rnacentral:rRNA from 1 species
UACGUAGGGAGCAAGCGUUGUCCGGAAUUAUUGGGCGUAAAGAGCUCGUAGGCGGUGUGUCACGUCGGCCGUGAAAACCUGGGGCUUAACUCUGGGCGUGCGGUCGAUACGGGCAUCACUAGAGUUCGGCAGGGGAGACUGGAAUUCCUGGUGUAGCGGUGAAAUGCGCAGAUAUCAGGAGGAACACCGGUGGCGAAGGCGGGUCUCUGGGCCGAUACUGACGCUGAGGAGCGAAAGCAUGGGUAGCGAACAGG